rnacentral:rRNA from 1 species
UACGUAGGGAGCAAGCGUUGUCCGGAAUCAUUGGGCGUAAAGCGCGCGUAGGCGGCCCCGUAAGUCCGCUGUGAAAGUCAAAGGCUCAACCUUUGAAAGCCGGUGGAUACUGUGGGGCUAGAGUCCGGAAGAGGCGAGUGGAAUUCCGUGGUGUAGCGGUGGAAUGCGCAGAUAUCAGGAGGAACACCAAUAGCGAAGGCAGCUCGCUGGGACGGUACUGACGCUAAGGCGCGAAAGCGUGGGGAGCGAACAGGA